rnacentral:misc_RNA from 1 species
CAACAAAAAUCCUCUAAUUAACUGUAAAAAGAAGAAUUGGAAAAAACAAAAAAAAAAGACACAUCAAAUCUCAGUCGUCAUUGCCCUAAAGAGAAAUAGUUUAGAAGGAAUAACUGAGUAGGCAUAUGAAAUGAAACCACCAUAUUGAUUUAGGUUUUCUUUUAAUUCCCCUUCACAACCCAAUUUAGCUUCCAAAAAAAGGGAGAAUGUUCUAUAUUGUGGUGGACAAAUGUUUUAUCUUGUAUUGAUGGGAAAAUAAAUGAAAUGCAAUGUUUCAAUGAAAAGGAAUAAUUGGGAAAGAAUAAAAACAAGGGGACCAACUACAAUGAGUUUGUUAAAAGUCUAUUAGCAAUCAAUAAUUUAAUUAAUUCACUUAGGAAGUUUGUUAACAAGUUUCAAUGACUUCUCUCAGCAAUUUUUUUUAAAAUUAUUGCACAUUAUUUAUCAAUUAUAUAAG